rnacentral:rRNA from 1 species
GACGAACGCUGGCGGCGUGCUUAACACAUGCAAGUCGAACGGAAAGGCCCUGCUUUUGUGGGGUGCUCGAGUGGCGAACGGGUGAGUAACACGUGAGUAACCUGCCCUUGACUUUGGGAUAACUUCAGGAAACUGGGGCUAAUACCGGAUAGGAGCUCCUGCUGCAUGGUGGGGGUUGGAAAGUUUCGGCGGUUGGGGAUGGACUCGCGGCUUAUCAGCUUGUUGGUGGAGUAGUGGCUUACCAAGGCUUUGACGGGUAGCCGGCCUGAGAGGGUGACCGGCCACAUUGGGACUGAGAUACGGCCCAGACUCCUACGGGAGGCAGCAGUGGGGAAUAUUGCACAAUGGGCGGAAGCCUGAUGCAGCAACGCCGCGUGCGGGAUGACGGCCUUCGGGUUGUAAACCGCCUUCGCCUGUGACGAAGCGUGAGUGACGGUAAUGGGUAAAGAAGCACCGGCUAACUACGUG